CAUAACAGCCUGUGCGCAUGCGCAAACACAGAAUCGCCCGACUGCGCAUGCGCACCGCUCCCAUAGCGGCUCUAUGGUACCAAAUGCGCAUGCGCAAUGAUGGGAGAGUUGCUGGGGGUGCUCUCAGUGAGUGGCACAGUAAUAGCACCGGGGCAAUGGCUUCCCAACUGCAUGUCCUGUGCGGCCGCCUCGUACGGGCCCUCACUGUUAUCAUGGAUCCCAAGUCCAGUCAGGAGGGGCGGCAGGAAGCGCACAAGUUCUGCGAGGAGUUCAAGGAGAGAAGCCCCCUCUGUGUGCCCUGUGGCCUGCAGCUGUCCAACCGGAGCCAUUCCCCCUGCGUCCGGCACUUCGGCCUGCACGUCUUGGAGCAUGUUAUAAAGUUUCGGUGGAACGUCAUGAGUGUGGAUGACAGGGUGUUUGUAAAGAACAGUGUGAUGCUUCUCAUUUCUCAUGGAAUCCACCCCAUCCUGGAGGAGAAAGGGCACAUUAAGGAUGUGAUUGCUCGCGUUGUAGUAGAGAUCAUCAAGAGAGAGUGGCCCUGGAACUGGCCGGACAUGGUCAACGAGCUGGCCUGUCUCGGCAAUUUUGGGGAUGCACAGAUGGAACUGGUGAUGUUCAUCCUUCUGCGGUUGGCUGAAGAAAUUGGGCCAUUAGAAACCCGACCCAUAUGUCAGCCGAAAGAUCUUCACGAAUUACUCAAGGAAAAUAUGGACAAAAUAUUUGCGUUUGUGGUGACCAUUCUGCAGCGGUGUGUGCCGAAUUGCCAGAACCUGACACAGGGCCAGUUCCGCGUGGCUGCAGCUGCUCUCCGCACCCUGGCCGGAUAUAUCAAGUGCCUCCCUACUCGCCUUAUAAUGGCUGAUAACUGUACUCUGCUAUGGCUGCUGUGUGUGCUGCUGAAUGUUCCUGAGCUACAAAUGGAGGCAGCCGAGUGUCUUCUCUUUGCAGUCAACAAGAAGGGACUGCUGCUGGAGGAACGAGUCCCGCUCCUGAUAUUAUUUAGGGAAGAUGCUUUACGAUACAUCCUGACUGCGGCACAACUGGCAGACAGUGACCCUUUGCAGGAGAGGAACUAUGUUAUCCUAAAGAUGAUUGGCCAAAUCCUUUGUGACCUGGGCAAUCAGCUCUGCGCUCAGGUCACUGCGUUUGAAGUGAAGACCCCAGAGAACUUUGACAGAUACCUUGAAGCCCUGCUGAGCCUCACCCGACACCCCAGCCUGUUUCUCACAUCUUUGGCUGCUGAGGUGUGGGGGACUCUGUUCAAUCACAGGGUGCUGUCCCACGACCCCCAGCUUACAGCAGCCAUACCUGAUGUGCUUCGAGCCGCUAUGGUCAGCAUUGUAAAGGUGGGUUACCCAUCAAUGGAUAACAGUCCCAGCUGUGAAUACUCCCGAAUGGACUUCGACGAUGAUAUAGAGUUCAAUACGUUUUUCCUCUCAUUUCGCAAACAGAUGGGGAUUGUGGUGAGAUCCCUGUGUCGCCUGGACACAAGAACAGUAUUGCACGUGGCUACAGAGUGGAUGCGCCACCAGCUGUCUGCUCCGCUGGAUCCGGGACCACAUAAUGCUACAUCUGGAGAGGCGCUGUGCAGCCCCCACUCUCCUUCCUUCCUGCAUUGGGAAGCAAUGUCCUUUUUCUGCAGUGAAGUCUUCGCUCCGCUCUGCCGCCCCCUGUCUGCAGAGGAGGUGCUGCUUACUCAGGGUGUCAGUCUUCUCCAGCAAGUCAUCAGCUAUGAGACCAAGGAUCCUCUUAUUGUGUCCUGUGUCCUCACCAACCUGUCGACCCUUCUGCCAUUCAUCCGUCACGGGAGCGACCUCUUGCCAUUGAUGGUGUCCAAGCUCCUCAGUGCGGCUGGGUUUGCAGAUACAGAUGCCGUUAAGGUGCCCAGAACGUUACUAAUGAAUAUCCGUAGCUGCGCCAGCGCCCUCCUCCAAACCAUCUGCAUUCGUUUCCCAGACCUAGUUGGGCCUCACUUUGAGGUUUUGCAUACCCGUAUUAAGGCCCUAUUGGGGCAGGAGCAGCUGCUAGCCGACGCUGAGAGAUGUGCCCUGAUGGGGGCUCUUGUUCUGGCCAGCAACCACUUUAAAAACUACAACAGACAGAGAUCCAUCUUGGAGGAAUUGCUCCAGCCUGCGGUCUCCAUGUUGCUCUCUGAGGAAAUGCAGAGAGUGCUUUCUGGCCCCAGCGAGUUCAUUUCCUUUCUGAGAGCCAACAAUCCAGGGAGUGAGAAUCAAGAAGAAGGGGUUGAUGGCGGCCGCCUAAGUUACUCCAAGCUCUGUUACUGCGCUUACACCUUUUUGGCUGCGAUAAGGAAAUCACGGAGGCCAAUAAUAUUUAAGGAAGCCAAAGCCGGGGGGUUCGUUAAAGGCUGUACCCCAGAUGGUGUUGCAAUGUUACAGAACCCCUGCGCAGGGGAACUGCUGAAAGUCCUGGACCGUCUGCUGGUUCUGAUCAGGACAAUGAACAGCCUGUACCUUCCAGAAGUAAUGACCAAAAUGGCAGAAACCAGUCUCAAAAUGGCAGAAACCAGUCAGUCUUGUGAGCUUGAGAUGGGGAACAAAAGCAUCAUGGAUUGCAGCCAGCCCAUCAUGGGUGAGUCUGGUCCCCCAGUGACCAUGCCGGAGCAGCUACAGGGCCCUUACAACUCGCUGUAUAAAGCCUGCUGCCAGAUACUGGGAAAGUGCGGCCCCUCCAUGCCACAUGAGUUCUACUCCGUUCCUGACUUGGCUUCUCGUCUGCUCAGCUCUGCCUUUACCAACCUCGACUACGUGUCUGACCUCCAUCUUAGACAUAUAGUGAUUGAUUUGGUGACACCACUCAUUUUUUAUUGCCCUUCAAAGAAGUACCAAAGUGUGGCCCUACCGAUCCUGGGGCCUCUCCUGAUGAGCCUGUACCAGAGAUUGUCCCAAAAAUGGCUGUGUAUCAACCAGAGAACAACAGCGAGUGAGGAGGAUCUAUUGGAGGAAGAGAGCGAGUCCCAAGAUGACCUGAUGGUGAGGCUGCUGAGCCGGACAGUGGUGCAGUUCAUUUGUGAGUCUCAUAUCCAACCAAUAUUUGCUGUAUGGCCUCACACACAACAUAUCAGAGUGAUGCCGAUUAUAGAAUUGCCCCCCGUGUGGAACAGGCAGAAGCAGAUGAAGAAGAGGAAAAUCUGAUCCUUAUGGCAGCAGCGGCCAAGGUGCUGAAAUCCCUAGCACUCUCAAAGCUGGGGCAGUUCCUGCUGAGUAAUGAGGAGGUUUACACGGCACUGCUGCUAAUGGCCUACAGCUCCCUGAUGUGGAAGGAUCCACAGACGUGUAAUAUGGCAGCCACUCGGCUGUGUUGGUCCCUGCUCAGCCAGAUGAUGGCCGUCUCCCUGCCGGCUGAUGCCGCUGUCUGUUAUUUUGCCAGUGUGCUGGGUGGGCUACAGGCUAAUGGCCACUGUAAGUCCUGCACGGACCCUCUGGUUCGCUUGGCGUUCAGGUUCUACGUGGCGCUGCGCCCUAAGUACCCCGAGCUGCAUGGGCUGAUGGAGCAGGUUCCGAAUAUCCAGCGAGAUACCUUGGAGCGGUUUGAUAAAAAUCUGUUGUCCCCCGAUCUGGAGAUAAACGAGAGAAUGUGCAGGGAGCAAUUCGCCAAGCUCCUCUCGGGGUGCACUGAGAAGCCGCUGGCCGACCAGUUCUACAAAGUCCACAUCCAACACUUACCCGCUGGGUUCAAGGGAACAUCUGGACCAGUCUUGGAACCUGAUUCUGUGCCAAUCAGUUGCGAGAGCUCCCUGGACCCUACUCACUGAUACAGGGACUCGGACACCCCCAUGGGGGUUACUUUAAGCAAAAGGAAAAGAUUAAAGGUCAACUGUCCCUUAAGUGUGUUUAUCACCCAUGCUUUGGUACAUUGCCCUCCGCUGGAACAAGCUCAUUGUUUGCCUUAUUCCCAGGAGUUGCAAGGAUUUGUUUCUACAGAACACGGAAUCCAUCUGUCCUGUUACAACACUAAGAAAGUCUCAGAUGUGCCAGUCAGCCUAUCCCUAAGGUGGACACAGAGUUCUGCUAAAACAAGGCUGGUGAUUGGCUGCCAUGGGAUCAGCCUCACAGAGGAAGAAAUGGUUAAAUAUCAGCAUAUUGGAAUAUGUUCCCUCUGUCCCUACGAGCUUUCGGGAUGUCUGAGCUAUUAUUUGAUACUCCAUAUUAAUGUAUACCUCAACUAUAGCUGUCUGGUUACUAUCCUGAGUGAAUCUGAUUGGUUCCAGUCUGGCCCAGGAGAGACUUAAGGCCCAGGCUUGAUUUGAGUAUGUAUUUAUUCAAAGAGUGACUUACUCACUGUGGGCGGGUUUAUCUCUAGAGGAGAAUCCUAUUGGCAGAUGAGCAUUUGCAUUAAAUAUAAAUACGACAGGUGUAACCACCUACGUGGUGGGAAUAUUUUUAUCUAUAAAUGUUAUAUAUUUAACUUUGAUGUAUAUAAUUUUUACAGACUGAAGCACAAACCCUGCACCAUAUUUUUCUAUACCUGGGGGGGGGAUUUGCACUGUGAUCAGCCUGGCACUUUGGUUCUGCUGGGCUCAAAUACGGCUCUGUGUUACAUAUUCCUUUAUAUUAAAGGCAACACAAAUGGUUUUAGUUUA